GAUGAACGCUGGCGGCGUGCCUAAUACAUGCAAGUCGAGCGAACAGACGAGGAUCUUUCUCCUCUGACGUUAUCGGCGGACGGGUGAGUAACACGUGGAUAACCUACCUAUAAUACUUGGAUAACUUCGGGAAACCGGAGCUAAUACCGGAUAAUAUAUUGAACCGCAUUGUUCAAUAGUGAAAGACGUUUUUUCUGUCUCUUAUAGAUUUAUCCUCGCCGCAUUAGCUAGUUGGGAAGGUAACGGCUUACCAAGGCGACGAUGCGUAGCCGACCUGAGAGGGAGAUCGGAAAAAAGGGAAGAGAGAAAGGGACAAGAGGACGACGGGAGGCAGCAGUAGGGAAAAGUAGGAAAAGGGGGAAAGAAUGAAGGAGCAAGGACGCGUGAGAGAAGAAGGUCUGAGGAUCGUAAAAAUAUGUUAUUAGGGAAGAAAAAAAGUGUAAGAAAAUAUGAACGUAUUGACGGUAACGAAUCAGAAAGCAACGGCUAACUACGUG
rnacentral:rRNA from 1 species